AAAAAGGGCUUCUGUUGUGAGUGGCACACACCAGGCAGCUUGAUUGUCCUACACGCAGAAUUGACACCAAGAGAUUUCAAAAGCAUAACUUUUUGGUAUCUGGGUGGCUGCUGAUCUUUGGUCCUGGCACCUGA